UUGAUUUGGUCGAUUUGAUAAGUUCAACUACUUUGUCUCUGGUUCAAGGCAUGUAGACUUUGUUCAAGUGAGUUUUCUGGUUUCAAACUCUUCAACAUUUCGAUGCAGCAUGAAUAGGAAAUUGUAUUGUCAUAGUUAUCUCAAUUAUUACUUGUCAUCUCUAUGCUAUUGUACUUCUAUCUAUUUUUUAUUUCUUCUUCCUUAAUUAAAUUCAGGUAAACAUCAUAUGUGGAAAUUGUUGUAAUGGACAAUGCACAGAUUUGUGAAUCUUUCAUUUCAAAGUUCAUGUAUGGUUGGUAUUUAUACAAGGAAUUGAUAUGGUCCCUUGUUAUUUAUACUAGGAAUUGAUAUGGUACCUUUCCAAUACAUGGAGACAUGUAAUCUUGUCAAUCGUUGAACUCUGUUUUUGGUUGAAAGCUCAAUAGAUAAUACUAAUGGGGGUUGCUUUAAUUCUCACUCAUUUAAUUACCUCUCUCUGUGGUCCUACACUUAUUAUUAUGUUCAAUUGCUAAGUUUCAUUACCUUGGUGGAUGUAAGUUGCUAGAUUCACAGUUUUAUUUUCUUGGGUUUGUUAAAAUGUUGUUGUGGUUUAAUUUGCGAUUUGUACUAGUACUAUUUGGAUUUGACACUAUUAGUAAGCUGUUGUUCAUGAUUUGGUGAUGACAGGUAGUGGAAAGUGGAAACCUUGCAUUUUCUAUGAAACCAUAGUCUAGUACUAGUUUCAAGCAUGAUAUUGAAAGCUUGGAUGCUCUACCUGUUUUCAAUUUGUCUGUGCUUACAAGGAUAUUGAAAGCUUGGAUAAAGUGAAGAAUAUGUUCAAGGAAGAGUAGCUGUUCGAUCAGCCUUUAGUAAUAUUGUUCUCAAUGUUGUUCUUGUGUUUUAAUGUAUGAAUGAUUGAGAAAUACUAUAUUUAUGGUACAUUUGAUGCUUUAAUGUAUGGAUUGGAGUACUUGAAUUGAUGAAUUGCAUUCAUAUUUCUUUUUAAUA